AUUCCAGCUCCAAUAGCGUAUAUUUAAGUUGUUGCAGUUAAAAAGCUCGUAGUUGGAUUUUGGGUCGGGGGCACCGGUCCGCCGUUCCGGUGUGCACUGGUGGCCCCUUCCUUUCUGCCGGGGACGUGCGUCGCACUUCAUUGGGUGGCGUUCGGAGUCGGCGUUGUUACUUUGAAAAAAUUAGAGUGUUCAAAGCAAGCCAUCGCUCUGAAUACAUUAGCAUGGAAUAACAUGAUAGGACCCCGGUCUUAUUUUGUUGGUUUCCGAGACUGGAGUAAUGAUUAAGAGGGACAGUCGGGGGCAUCCGUAUUUCAUUGUCAGAGGUGAAAUUCUUGGAUUUAUGAAAGACGAACUUCUGCGAAAGCAUUUGCCAAGGAUGUUUUCAUCG
rnacentral:rRNA from 1 species